AUGCUGGUGGUGGGUGCAGGGCCGCUGGGAGCCGCUGCAUGGUUCCCAGAGGCUGGACUGGGGCAGGUGCCAACUGAAGCUGCUGGGGCAGCAUGGGCAGGAUGUUCUGCACACAAACCUUGGAGAAGAAGAUGUGUGCAUAGCGGGUCCACUGCUGCUGCCCCUGCCCUGACUCCCAGCCCUGCCUGACCCCACCUCACCCUGCUCAGGCUCUGGCGCAACCCUGGCUGCCCUGCCACUGCCUCUGCCCCAGAGUUGGGGCCUUGACAGCCUGGUUGGAAGGGGACACCCCAGCCCUGCCUCAACACCUGGGGGUCUCCAUAACUACCACAGGCAGGUGGGCGACCCCAAAGAAGAUCCCAGGACUCACAGUACCCCCUGAGAACAUGGACAGUAUGUGGGGGUAG
rnacentral:lncRNA from 1 species